GCUAACGUCCGUCGUGAAGAGGGAAACAACCCAGACCGCCAGCUAAGGUCCCAAAGUCAUGGUUAAGUGGGAAACGAUGUGGGAAGGCCCAGACAGCCAGGAUGUUGGCUUAGAAGCAGCCAUCAUUUAAAGAAAGCGUAAUAGCUCACUGGUCGAGUCGGCCUGCGCGGAAGAUGUAACGGGGCUAAACCAUGCACCGAAGCUGCGGCAGCGAACGUAUCACUUAAAGCGAUUCAGCGGGUUACGAUUGACGGAGCGAAGCGACGUCAAAGCGUAUACAAAGUCGAGUCGGUUUAAGGAUACGUUCGUUGGGUAGGGGAGCGUUCUGUAAGCCUGCGAAGGUGGCCUGUGAGGGUUGCUGGAGGUAUCAGAAGUGCGAAUGCUGACAUAAGUAACGAUAAAGCGGGUGAAAAGCCCGCUCGCCGGAAGACCAAGGGUUCCUGUCCAACGUUAAUCGGGGCAGGGUGAGUCGACCCCUAAGGCGAGGCCGAAAGGCGUAGUCGAUGGGAAACGGGUUAAUAUUCCCGUACUUGGUGUUACUGCGAAGGGGGGACGGAGAAGGCUAUGUUGGCCGGGCGACGGUUGUCCCGGUUUAAGCGUGUAGGCUGGUUUUCCAGGCAAAUCCGGAAAAUCAAGGCUGAGGCGUGACGACGAGGCACUACGGUGCUGAAGCAACAAAUGCCCUGCUUCCAGGAAAAGCCUCUAAGCAUCAGGUAACACGAAAUCGUACCCCAAACCGACACAGGUGGUCAGGUAGAGAAUACCAAGGCGCUUGAGAGAACUCGGGUGAAGGAACUAGGCAAAAUGGUGCCGUAACUUCGGGAGAAGGCACGCUGACACGUAGGUGAAGUGAUUUACUCAUGGAGCUGAAGUCAGUCGAAGAUACCAGCUGGCUGCAACUGUUUAUUAAAAACACAGCACUGUGCAAACACGAAAGUGGACGUAUACGGUGUGACGCCUGCCCGGUGCCGGAAGGUUAAUUGAUGGGGUCAGCGCAAGCGAAGCUCCUGAUCGAAGCCCCGGUAAACGGCGGCCGUAACUAUAACGGUCCUAAGGUAGCGAAAUUCCUUGUCGGGUAAGUUCCGACCUGCACGAAUGGCGUAAUGAUGGCCAGGCUGUCUCCACCCGAGACUCAGUGAAAUUGAACUCGCUGUGAAGAUGCAGUGUACCCGCGGCAAGACGGAAAGACCCCGUGAACCUUUACUAUAGCUUGACACUGAACAUUGAGCCUUGAUGUGUAGGAUAGGUGGGAGGCUUUGAAGCGUGGACGCCAGUCUGCGUGGAGCCGACCUUGAAAUACCACCCUUUAAUGUUUGAUGUUCUAACGUGGACCCGUAAUCCGGGUUGCGGACAGUGUCUGGUGGGUAGUUUGACUGGGGCGGUCUCCUCCUAAAGAGUAACGGAGGAGCACGAAGGUUGGCUAAUCCUGGUCGGACAUCAGGAGGUUAGUGCAAUGGCAUAAGCCAGCUUGACUGCGAGCGUGACGGCGCGAGCAGGUGCGAAAGCAGGUCAUAGUGAUCCGGUGGUUCUGAAUGGAAGGGCCAUCGCUCAACGGAUAAAAGGUACUCCGGGGAUAACAGGCUGAUACCGCCCAAGAGUUCAUAUCGACGGCGGUGUUUGGCACCUCGAUGUCGGCUCAUCACAUCCUGGGGCUGAAGUAGGUCCCAAGGGUAUGGCUGUUCGCCAUUUAAAGUGGUACGCGAGCUGGGUUUAGAACGUCGUGAGACAGUUCGGUCCCUAUCUGCCGUGGGCGCUGGAGAACUGAGGGGGGCUGCUCCUAGUACGAGAGGACCGGAGUGGACGCAUCACUGGUGUUCGGGUUGUCAUGCCAAUGGCACUGCCCGGUAGCUAAAUGCGGAAGAGAUAAGUGCUGAAAGCAUCUAAGCACGAAACUUGCCCCGAGAUGAGUUCUCCCUGAGACUUAGAGUCUCCUGAAGGAACGUUGAAGACGACGACGUUGAUAGGCCGGGUGUGUAAGCGCAGCGAUGCGUUGAGCUAACCGGUACUAAUGAACCGUGAGGCUUAACCUU
rnacentral:rRNA from 1 species